rnacentral:rRNA from 1 species
GGAUCAGGUAGGAAUACCCGCUGAACUUAAGCAUAUCAAUAAGCGGAGGAAAAGAAACCAACAGGGAUUGCCUCAGUAACGGCGAGUGAAGCGGCAACAGCUCAAAUUUGAAAUCUGGCCGCAAGGUCCGAGUUGUAAUUUGUAGAGGAUGCUUUUGGCGAGGUGACUUCCGAGUUCCCUGGAACGGGACGCCAUAGAGGGUGAGAGCCCCGUACGGUCGUGCCACCGAGCCUCUGUAAAGCUCCUUCGACGAGUCGAGUAGUUUGGGAAUGCUGCUCUAAAUGGGAGGUGUACGUCUUCUAAAGCUAAAUACCGGCCAGAGACCGAUAGCGCACAAGUAGAGUGAUCGAAAGAUGAAAAGCACUUUGAAAAGAGGGUUAAAAAGUACGUGAAAUUGUUGAAAGGGAAGCAUUCAUGACCAGACUUGGGCUUGGUUGAACAUCCGGCGUUCUCGCCGGUGCACUCUGCCAGCUCAGGCCAGCAUCAGUUUGCCCCGGGGGACAAAGGCGGCGGGAAUGUGGCUCCCUACGGGGAGUGUUAUAGCCCGUCGUGUAAUGCCCUGGGGUGGACUGAGGUUCGCGCUUCGGCACGGAUGCUGGCGUAAUGGUCAUCAAUGACCCGUCUUGAAACACGGACCAAGGAGUCGUCUUCGUAUGCGAGUGUUCGGGUGUCAAACCCCUACGCGUAAUGAAAGUGAACGUAGGUGAGAGCUUCGGCGCAUCACCGACCGAUCCUGAUGUUCUCGGAUGGAUUUGAGUAAGAGCAUACGGGGCCGGACCCGAAAGAAGGUGAACUAUGCCUGUAUAGGGUGAAGCCAGAGGAAACUCUGGUGGAGGCUCGCAGCGGUUCUGACGUGCAAAUCGAUCGUCAAAUA